GACCCGACCCAGAUCGUUCAAAGCAUUAAAGGGGUAAUACCCACCCCUCCCCCCUUUUAUUUCAUUUUACCCAUUUCAGAAAAAAAAAAAAACAUCCCCCUCCCUUUUCUCUCUCUUCCUCUUUCAUGUUAAAACCCGAGCGUCGCCUGCAAUUUUCUCUCUCUCUCGUCUAGAAAUGGAAAGUUAAAGCGCGUGUGUAAGACAUGCAGUUUUGUAGUGACAGUUUUUUGUAAAGAAAUUAAUGUUAAGGUCGUAUUUACUCGAAUCUUGCCCGAAUAGAUUUACGAGUAUGGACGGAUAAGCGUAGAUAAUAGGAGGCCUCACAGGUUCAGGUAGUCAUUUGGAUGAGCAAGACCAGUAGGAUCUCCUCAGUCGCACUCAGUGCGCUCCACUUGAUCCGAAGCUACAACUUUUGGUAUGCUAUUUAUGAGGUGUACAUAUGUGGGUAUAACAGGGCCUUGUCCUGUCUUUCUAUGGCUAGACUCCAUAGAGGUCUAUAGACAGUCGUAUAUAGUGGGAAUAUCAUGUAGCUUUGUGGUCUCCUAUUUUCCUUACAGCGCAUGUAGCGACCAUGUCGGACUAUGUUGUCAUCCGUUGUACGUAUGCCUAUAUAUACAUAUCCACGUGUAUAAAUUAUGAGUUUUUCAAGACAGAGUUUAUUGCAUAAAUUUUGCAGCAGAUGCUAUCGCUCAUAUAUGAGUUAGAAAUGGGCCACCAGGUUAUUUAACAUAUGGCAAGUACGAGUUUAGGGGUGCUUAGUCAGCAGUGUUCGGGCACUCGUCACGAUCCAUGGGUUUGGGUCAUGACAUAUAUUCUACUAUAUAUUGAAGGUUCUUGCUUCUGUUGUUCUAUGCUUAAACCUAAUGAGGACGUGGUCACCAAAGUCAUGACACUAGUUUGAUAAACCUUUAAGCUUACAUUAAUCCUGUUGAAUGUAGUAGAACAUCAAAAGGUUGUGAUAUCUAUUAGAAUUAUUUGAAGCAAUUGUAUUUGUUUCAUAAGAAUGUGAAAUUUGUUUUUUUUUUCUUUUUCUCUUUCCUGAAUCUGUUCUUGUGUAGGCUUGCAUACUUGUUUGAUGUCAACUAAGGGACAUGAGUUUGUGAUUGGGGUAAAACAUGGGAAGGGAUUAUGAUCAAUUUAGAAUAGAACUUAGGGGAACUAGGCAUGUCUAUAAGAAAUCUGUGACAUUUGGCUAAAGCAUUUAGAGUUAAGUUUGCCUGCACUUGUGUGGGUCUGAACCUUCCCA